rnacentral:lncRNA from 1 species
GUUCAGAUUCCAGAGAAGAAGAAGAAGAUCCAGAAAAGGCAGGAAGUUGACAGACAUAAUCCUUAAGAUAAGAGGGAGGAUUAUGCUGUCUUCCAUAUUUUCUGGGAGCAUGAAGAGAUGUGGAAGGAGGAAAAUCAAGAGGAGAAAUAUCAGGAUUGAAGGGAUGAAUGGAAACUGGAUUAGAAGAGGUGGAAGCUGGGGCAGAAGGAGGAGGAGGAGAGGAACAGACAGGUAUAGACAAGUCUGUAUCAGAGGAGGAAUGCUCAAGAGGAGGAACAAAAGGAAAGGAAGAGGGAGUAGGAUGAACAGAAGAUGAUACAGUUUUAAAAGGAAAGUAGGUUUCAUGAAAUAUAACAUCCCUGGAGACAAAGUAUUUUUCGGAAGUGAGAUCAUAAAGUUUAUAACCCUUUUUUGGCAAAAGGAUACCCUAGGAAUACACAGGAAAUGGCUCUACGUUUCAACUUGUCCCUUUGAGGAAUUGGGACAGUAGCAUAGGCAAGGCAUCCAAAUGCCCUCAAAUGAGAGUAGAUUGGUGCCUUUCCAUGCAAAAUUUCAUAAGGAGAUUUAUUAUGAAGGAGUCUGGAUGGUAUUCUAUUAAGAAGAUAGGUGGCUGUUAGUAAGCAGUCCCCCCAGAAAGAGAUGGGUAAGCCAGAUUGAAAGAGUAAAGCUCUACAUNNNNNNNNNNNNNNNNNNNNNNNNNNNNNNNNNNNNNNNNNNNNNNNNNNNNNNNNNNNNNNGUAAAGCUCUACAUGUCUCAAGAAGAGUCCUAUGCUUCCUUUCAACAACACCAUUCUGUUGAGGAGUAUGAGGACAGGUUGUUUGAUGAAUAAUCCCUUGUUUACUAAAGAAAGAUGCACCAUCAAUGCUAGACCCCAAAUCCAAAGCAUUGUCACUUCUAACAGUUUGAACCACAGCAUUAAACUAGGUUUUAGCCAUACACAGAAAUGAUUUAAGCAGGCAGAAAGCAUUGCUUUUAGACCCUAGUAAGUGUGUCCAGGUUGCCGUAGAGAAAUCAUCAACUAUUGUAAGAAAAUAUCUAGAAACAGAAGAAGUAGGAGUGUGAUAGGGGCCCCAAGUAUCCACAUGAAUCAAUUGGAAAGGUCUAGAAGUACUUAUUGUGCUAUCAGGAAAGGAAAGUCUAGUCUGUUUAGCCAUAGGACAGACAGAACAAGGGAAAGGCUGCUUAGAAGCAAAUGGAAAAGACAAUCAAGAAAUGUGUUUCAUGUUUGCAAAUGAAGUAUGAGCUAGUCUCAAAUGCCAAAUGUAAUUCAUGUCAGUUGUAACAACAUUAUUACAGAUGGAACUAUUUACAUUUGAAGGUAAAGCAAAAACUUUAUGGCAACCAGUAGUGGAAGAAUUGUCAUGAUUACAAGAGUCAGACAUAGAGCAUACAAAAGUAGAUGAACAACUAGUAGAGGAAGAAUGGGAAGCUGGAACCCAAGCAAGCUUGUACAGACCAACCUCCUCUUUACCAAGAUCCAGAGGCUUCCUCAGAGAAGGGUCUUGUAUCAUGUGGAAGAAGCAGGAAGUUGCAGUGAACAAUAAUAUGCAAUGCAACUGUUUCACUAACUUGUGGACAGAAAUCAAG